CGGUGGGACUCUUCGAUGGUCCGUGCAGAGAGGAGGCGAAUGGCAUGCAGCGAGGAGAGCAUGUGGUCGACCGGCAGAGAGGUCAUCAGGGAGGGGAACCAUGCUUGUCGGAGGAGAGGGUGUAGAAAGGAUGACGAAUAGGGGAACGGCAUGUAGAGAUUGCUCGGGGAGGGGAAGAGAAGGGAGGGAGGCACUCGUCAGAGGAGACAGUGCAGAGAGGAUGACAAACAG
rnacentral:lncRNA from 1 species